AUUGAACGCUGGCGGAAUGCUUUACACAUGCAAGUCGAACGGCAGCACGGACUUCGGUCUGGUGGCGAGUGGCGAACGGGUGAGUAAUAUAUCGGAACGUGCCCAGUCGUGGGGGAUAACGUAGCGAAAGCUACGCUAAUACCGCAUACGAUCUACGGAUGAAAGCGGGGGAUCGCAAGACCUCGCGCGAUUGGAGCGGCCGAUAUCAGAUUAGGUAGUUGGUGAGGUAAAGGCUCACCAAGCCGACGAUCUGUAGCUGGUCUGAGAGGACGACCAGCCACACUGGGACUGAGACACGGCCCAGACUCCUACGGGGGGCAGCAGUGGGGAAUUUUGGACAAUGGACGCAAGUCUGAUCCAGCCAUUCCGCGUGCAGGACGAAGGCCUUCGGGUUGUAAACUGCUUUUGUACAGAACGAAAAGGUCUCUAUUAAUACUAGGGGCUCAUGACGGUACUGUAAGAAUAAGCACCGGCUAACUACGUGCCAGCCGCCGCGGUAA
rnacentral:rRNA from 1 species